rnacentral:rRNA from 1 species
GACGAACGCUGGCGGCGUGCUUAAUACAUGCAAGUCGAACGGAAAGGCCCUGCUUUUGUGGGGUGCUCGAGUGGCGAACGGGUGAGUAACACGUGAGUAACCUGCCCUUGACUUUGGGAUAACUUUAGGAAACUGGGGCUAAUACAGGAUAGGAGCUACUGAUGCAUGGUGGGGGUUGGAAAGUUUCGGCGGUUGGGGAUGGACUAGCGGCUUAUCAGCUGGUUGGUGGGGUAGUGGAUUACAAAGGCUUUGACGGGUAGCCGGCCUUAGAGGGUGACCGGCCACAAUGGGACUGAGAUACGGCCCAGACGCCUACGGGAGGCAGCAGGCGAGAACAUGGCGCAAUGACCCGAAGCCUGUGGCAGCAACGCCGCGUGCGGGAUGACGUGCUUCUGGUUGUAAACCGCUUUCUCCUUUAACGAAGCGGUAGUGACGGUAAUGGGUAAAGAAGCACCGGCUAACUACGUG